rnacentral:rRNA from 1 species
AACGUAGGAUCCGAGCGUUGUCCGGAAUCACUGGGUGUAAAGGGUGCUUAGGCGGGCUUGCGCGUCAAGGGUUAAAGACCUCGGCUCAACCGAGGGAAUGCCCUUGAUACGGCAGGCCUUGAGUGCGGGAGAGGAUGGUGGAAUUCCUGGUGUAGCGGGGAAAUGCGUAGAGAUCAGGAGGAACACCGAAGGCGAAGGCAGCCAUCGGGACCGCCACUGACGAUGAGGCACGAAAGCGUGGGGAGCAAACAGG